rnacentral:rRNA from 1 species
AGCCAUGCCGCGUGAGUGAUGAAGGCCUUAGGGUUGUAAAGCUCUUUCACCGAUGAAGAUAAUGACGGUAGUCGGAGAAGAAGCCCCGGCUAACUUCGUGCCAGCAGCCGCGGUAAUACGAAGGGGGCUAGCGUUGUUCGGAAUUACUGGGCGUAAAGCGCACGUAGGCGGAUAUUUAAGU